GGGCGCUUACCACUUUGUGAUUCAUGACUGGGGUGAAGUCGUAACAAGGUAACCGUAGGGGAACCUGCGGUUGGAUCACCUCCUUACCUUAAAGAAGC
rnacentral:rRNA from 10 species